rnacentral:tRNA from 1 species
GGGCCGUUAGCUCAGCCGGUAGAGCAGGUGACUCUUAAUCACAAGGUCACAGGUUCGAAUCCUGUACGGCCCACCA